ACGCUCGACACCUACGGGAGUCAGCAGUGGGGAAUAUUGCACAAUGGGGGAAACCCUGAUGCAGCGACGCCGCGUGAGUGAAGAAGUAUUUCGGUAUGUAAAGCUCUAUCAGCAGGGAAGAAGAUGACGGUACCUGAGUAAGAAGCCCCGGCUAACUACGUGCCAACAGCCGCGGUAAUCUGAGCGGGCUGGCAAGGC
rnacentral:rRNA from 1 species